GCAGUCGGUGCUUCUCUGCGUUGGGGUU
rnacentral:sRNA from 1 species